rnacentral:lncRNA from 1 species
AUGUUUGUGGAAAAAGGGAAAGUUGAUUCCUUUUUCUUUUGCUAUUUAUUUGCUAAGAACCGAAGGGAGAGAGAGAGAGAUUUGGCUCUCUCCUGAGAAGACAUCAGAGAGCAUCCAAAGGGGGAGAGCAUUCGGCUCUCUCAUGGGAAAGCAUGGGCACGGGUGAGAGAAAAUCAAGAGAGCUAGAGUGAAAAGUAUUCUAGUGAAAGAACUCUUGGGGUAGAGUGAGGCUCUUGGGAAAAUUCUAUGAGUGGGUGUGCAAGGGAUUUGGGAUUGGGUUAUGUUGAUUUAACUCAUGUGUACUUGUACUGUUAUUCUCAUAGUGAAGAGCAAUAUCUCUCCGGGGACGUAGGCAGGAUUUUUGCCGAACCUCUUAAAUUUCUCGGUGUCUUUAUUUCUUGUAUUUUAUCAUGUUCAACUGAGUGUGAUUUGGUGAUGUUGUAAUUUGAAUCUCGUUUCCGCACUGAUGAACGGGCCAAGGCACAACAAUUGGUAUCAGAGCUCGUUGGAGGCUUGGUUCGUUAGAGGUCUAGAUUUGUUGUUCACCAUGGAAUUCUCAGUUGAGCAGUUUAAUGGGAGAUGCGAUUUUACUCUUGGUAAAUGACGCCUAAAGAAAUGGAAGCCGUGUUCAGGGAUGCUUGGAUCAACUGCGAAAGUUGAUGUUGAGGAAGAAGACAAAGACCUUUUUUCUUCUUCCCUCACUUUCAGAUUCGUACGAGAACCUUGUGAAACUUUACUGCAUGGAAAGUUACAGUAAGUUUGGAGCAGGUGCAAGCUUCUUUGGUGUGGAAUGAUACACAAAGGAGACCAUGGAUGAUGGUGGGCACAAGACUGCUUAAGUUAUUAAAGGUUGGAAUCGUGGAAGAAAAUUGGAAAGAGGAUCUAGAGAGACAGCAGGUUCAGAUCCGGUUCCGGAGGCAAGGGUCCACAGUGCUACGAGUGCAAGGCCGGGUUGUAGCAAGUUUGUGGCAGAAGACUUUGAGUAUGUCCUCUAGGUACUCGAAACAACACUUCUCCUGGUGAUGUUUAGUCUCAAGUGUUGCAGGGGUUUUGCAGCAGGUGGAGCUAUAGGACUCACAAGUGAUGAGAUGGUCCUGAGGUAGGAGGAAGUAUGGGAAUUUUGUCUGGCUCGAUGGGUUGUUGCUGGAACGGGCGCACUGACGAGUUUCCAAGUUGCAGACAAUGAAGAGAAGGACCUGCUGGAGGAGACGAGGAUGUGUCGAGAUCAUGUCUGAAGUUAAAUGGUGAUUUUUUAGCUUGUAGCAGCUGCACAUGCAUUGGCAGUGACUGAAUCGGAACAGGACCAAUGAGGUGGAUUCAGAGUGUGCAUGUUGGUACGUAAGGCCAAUGGACUUUGGUGAUGGGUGCAAGGAUUUUUGCAUGGUGUAUUCGCCAAGGUGGAGAUUGUUGUGUUUGACUCAUACAUUUGUGAGUAAUUAUGAGUCAUGUGUUAACAAUAAUGAAGUGACCUGUGUUUGCUUUCGGUGGAAAUCACAUGGUGAGGGUUACAUGAAAGUUGCAGACAAAGUAAAAGCAAAAGUUUGGUGGACAUCAUCAUGAGUAAAGACAUAAUGAUGAUACUUGCUUUUACUUUAAUGAUGAUGUUUGUGGAAAAAGGGAAAGUUGAUUCUUUUUUCUUUUGCUAUUUAUUUGCUAAGAACCGAAGGGAGAGAGAGAGAGAUUUGGCUCUCUCCUGAGAAGACAUUAGAGAGCAUCCAAAGGGGGAGAGCAUUCGGCUCUCCCAUGGGAAAGCAUGGGCACGGGUGAGAGAAAAUCAAGAGAGCUAGAGUGAAAAGUAUUCUAGUGAAAGAACUCUUGGGGUAGAGUGAAACUCUUGGGGUAGAGUGAGGCUCUUGGGAAAAUUCUAUGAGUGGGUGUGCAAGGGAUUUGGGAUUGGGUUAUGUUGAUUUAACUCAUGUGUACUUGUACUGUUAUUCUCAUAGUGAAGAGCAAUAUCUCUCGGGGGACGUAGGCAGGAUUUUUGCCGAACCUCGUAAAUUUCUCGGUGUCUUUAUUUCUUGUAUUUUAUUCUGUUCAACUGAGUGUGAUUUGGUGAUGUUGUAAUUUGAAUCUCGUUUCCGCACUGAUGAACGGGCCAAGGCACAAUAGAAGGAAUACAUACAUUAUAUAUGCUCUCAUGGAACAACUUGUAUAUUAUAUUUAUACUAGAAGCUUGACCUAACUCAACAUUUAAUCACAGGCAUAUAUAUAUGUUUUAAUUUUUUUUUUAUCUUUUUGCUACUGGAGAAAAUAAGAGUUCUGAAAUACAUUAAAAGAAAGGAAAAUUAGAGUGAUAUCAUGUUUCAAUUGAUGGGUUGGCAAAAGGACCAAGUGAGUAAAACACACACUAUUUGGCCCUUAAAAUCUUGGAAAAGUAAUUUAAAACUUAAGGCUCUUUUUAUAAAUUUGUGUUUUCUUCUUUUCUACUUAAAAUUACCAAAAAAAAAAAAAAACUACGGGGAAGCAUAUGUGGGAGUAGCUACAUUCGCUAGAUUGAAUGUGUUUCUUCCAUGUGUAGAAUAUUGUUUAUAAUAAAAAUAAUCCUCGUUCCUUUAGUGUAAAUAUAUGUUGCAUAAAAAAAUGGAGAAAGACUAAAAGAGAGAAAAAGUGAGAAAACAGAUUUUAGUUUUUAUUAGAAAAAUAAACACAUACCUACCUUCAUGUGAGAAAUAUUAAAAUUUUGCUUAAUCUAGGUCAUUAGCUACUAAAAUCUCCUAAUCAAAAUUGAAGUUUGUAAUAUCUUUGUGUAGUUUGUUUGUCAUUUUAAAGCUUAUAUUUGGUUAAUUGCAGCAUAAAUCUGCCAUCUAUAUUUAAGCUACUAGAAUCUUAUAUGUCAAUUCGGAUUUUGUUUUGUUUUGUUUUUCUGCCCAUUUGUCCUACAGUUUUCGUAAGCAUCGACCAUGGAGACUUUGUGAUCGUUCCUUUCCUAUAACUCAACAUUUGAGGAACUACUUAUUUAAUAAUUUGAUUUACUCUUCUUUUCUUUUUGUUUGUUAUGAAUAAUUUAUGAAUAUAUGUUUAUAAAUUAUAGGGUUAAGUACAAAAACUACUCAACAUUUUGGGGUGAUCCCAAAUUAAUCUCAACCUUUCAAAACAUUAACUACCUAACGUUUUGAAAAUUAGACAACUAAUAAGUUACAGGAACUUUAUCAACAUUAAGUGGUGACAUUAAUAACAUUAAAUGAGGUGGACAACUACUAAAGUUGGUUUUCACUAAUUGACAUCUUUGGAGUUCUAAUCCUCCAAAUAGACAAUUUUAAACAAGUUAAACCAUAAAUUUGCUUAGCUACAUCGCUUCAAUUUGGAGAUACAAAUCUCUAUAGGUGACUUGAGAGUCAAACCACGCUUAAUAUCCAUUCAUGUCAUCCCUUAAGAGUGAGGAU